GGUAUGGGAUGAGCUUGCGUCCGAUUAGCUAGUUGGCGGGGCAACGGCCCACCAAGGCGACGAUCGGUAGCCGGCCUGAGAGGGCGAUCGGCCACAUUGGGACUGAGAUACGGCCCAGACUCCUACGGGAGGCAGCAGUAGGGAAUAUUGCACAAUGGGGGAAACCCUGAUGCAGCAACGCCACGUGUGGGAAGAAGCAUUUCGGUGUGUAAACCACUGUUGUGAGGGAAUAAGGCAUUGUUUCGGCGAUGUUGAAUGUACCUCGAAAGGAAGCACCGGCAAACUUCGUGCCAGCAGCCGCGGUAAUACGAGGGGUGCAAGCGUUGUUCGGAAUCACUGGGCGUAAAGGGAGCGUAGGCGGAGAUGCAAGCAGUCUGUACAAUACCGGGGCCCAACCCCGGACCUGCAGACUGGACUGUGUCUCUUGGAUAGUUCAGGGGCAGGC
rnacentral:rRNA from 1 species